rnacentral:lncRNA from 1 species
AGGAGUCAUUUGGUGGGUUUUUAGUGAAAUCCAAUCUCUAGGACAAUACAAUACACCAAUCACCCCAUUUCAGAACGAACUUCGUACGAACCUGAAUUCUCCGAUUUCAAGGACCAAUCGAUACCGGAUUAAGUCCAAAACCUGGGGAACAUCAUAAUAUUGUGGGAGUUGUCAUUUGAUGGGUUUUGAGUGAAAUCCAAUCCCUAGAACUAUACAACACACCAACCACACCAUUUCGGAACGAACUUCGUACGAACCUGAAUUGUCCGAUUUCAAGGACCAAUCGAUAUCGG